rnacentral:snRNA from 1 species
AAUGUCUUUUACGUUGGACGCCCAGAGUCACG